AUUGAACGCUGGCGGCAGGCCUAACACAUGCAAGUCGAACGAGCGGCGGAAGGGUGAGUAAUGUCUGGGAAACUGCCUGAUGGAGGGGGAUAACUACUGGAAACGGUAGCUAAUACCGCAUACCAUCAGAUGUGCCCAAAUGUGAUUAGCUAGUAGGUGAGGUAACGGCUCACCUAGUCGACGAUCCCUAGCUGGGCUGAGAGGAUGACCAGCAACACUGGAACUGAGACACGGUGCAGACUCCUACGGGAGGCAGCAUGGGGGAAUAUUGCACAAUGGGCGCAAGCCUGAUGCAGCCAUGCCGGGUGUAUGAAGAAGGCCUUGGGGUUGUAAAGUACUUUCAGCGUGGAGGCGUUACCCGCAGAAGAAGCACCGGCUAACGCCGUGCCAGCAGCCGCGGUAAUAC
rnacentral:rRNA from 1 species